UUUAUUUCAAAUUUUCAGAGAGCAGAUGACUGAUUUAAGCAGCCUGGGUGAUGUAGAGCAGGAAAAACUGAGUGAACAGGUUUCAGGAUUAAAUGAAGAACUCUGUGCCAUGGAAGUGAGACUGAAAAUAUCUCAAAGGUGGCAGCCAGGACACAUAGAGUACCAAACAGCUCUUUUGAACCAAGAAGAAGCUAAAAAGCUUGAAAUGCUGCAUAAGAUCAGGCUUUUAGCUGUGGAGAGGGACUUCUUGGUUGGUGUGAGGAGCAAGUAUUCAGCUUUAUAAUGUAAGCACUGUCAGGCCAUUGGUGUCUCAGGUUGCCAACAGCACCAGGAGAAGAGCCUUGGAAGCUGCAGACCUACACAAGAGCUGCAGAACAACAACUCCUGAUAAAGCAGGACAUGUUGCAUUUGGCUCAAACUAUGCAUGAAAAGCAUGCAGAGCUGGAACAACAGCUGAUAGUAAACUGCACUACACUGUUUGAAAGGGGAAGAAAGAGUCUAGUCAUUCUUGAAUUGGCUCAUUUAGAACAUAUAACUCCACACAUGUCUGAAAGGUACUCUGCAGCUGGUGUUCCUGUACCUUUUAUCUCCCAGGGUGUCUAUAGCUUCUUCCCAUGUUCUAAUUUCGAUGAGAGUGAUGAUAAUAGGGCAGCAGUGUGGAGUAGUGGUUAGGGCUCUGGACUCUUGACCGGAGGGUUGUGGGUUCAAUCCCCAGUGGGGGACACUGCUGUUGUACCCUUGAGCAAGGUACUUUACCUAGAUUGCUCCAGUAAAAACCCAACUGUAUAAAUGGGUAAUUGUAUGUAAAAUAAUGUGAUAUCUGUAUAAUGUGAAAUAAUGUAUAAUGUGAUAUCUUGUAACAAUUGUAAGUCGCCCUGGAUAAGGGCGUCUGCUAAGAAAUAAAUAAUAAUAAUGAUGACAAUGAUGAAGACACAUAUUUCCUUGAUGAUACAAAUUACAUUUAGUUCACUGUCACCAAGAUAGGGUGUGGUGAGGCAAGAAGCCACCUUAAGCAAUAUCUGUGUUUAUUAGCAAUUACUCUAAAACUACAAUGUUUUGGAUUUCAGCUUUGACAUAUCUUGUGUAGGUCCACUCCAAGAUUAUAUGUGUCAAUUUUGAUGUUUUUUCGCUGUGCCAAAUUUGAAUUAUGCUAAAGGCGUAUGCCUUGGCUUCUAGCAGAAGAGGUGCAGCCCCCACCUCGCAACAAUUGCAUCCAAAUUCCCACUACUUUACCACUUCAAUGCAUGUACAACUGCCAAACAAUUUGUAUGCACUGGAGACCAUUUCAGAACCAUUUUUAGUUGACGAUCUUUUUAAAAAUAGUUAAAUAGUUAAAAAAAUGAAUUAUUAUUAUUUUAAUUAAAGAAGUGUGUGGAAAAAUGAUCAGACAUAACAUUGUAAAGUGAGGGUGAAAAAAAAUCGAGGGAACAAACCAUUACUUACAAAAAAGGGGUGUACAUGUUAUAUAAUCAAAUAUUAACAGCAAAUAUCUUUUUUUUUAAGAUGCUCUCUUUUGGAAUUGAUUCUUUGAAUGGUAUUAUUAUAUGCCAGAGUUUUAUAUCAAUAAUAACUUCCUGUACCCACAAUUCACAUUAGUCUCGUAUCCAAAAAUGAUAUCGCCCUAGACUAUUGCAGAAGCACACAUGUAGGUCGUGGAGCGGGUUUAUCACUUCAUACGAUGAGAUGGAUUCUUUAUCAGUUGGAAGCACUGUCAACAAACGCCUCAGUGUAAACACUAGUGUCGCUAGUCAAAAUGAGCAGGACCUGCUUACUUUGUAUGUGCAAGGAAUGAAUAAUUACUCAUCUGAUCUGGGAAAAUCUUUGUUAAGAUUAGCCUUUGACAAGACUGGUUUACCAGAGAGAGAAGUAAAGAGGUGGAUUGACAAUUAUAAAAAGAAGGUGAAGAGGAGAGAGCACCCCAGUUAAACUUGCAAAAAGAGCUAAGAGGGGCAUUGAUGUGCUCUACAGUGAGAACUUAUCAAAACAAGAGGGCAACACUAACAAAGAGAAGUUGCAGGCUUUACACAGGACCUGGAGGAGCACCACAGCCGAGGAACAGGAGCGGUACUCUGAAAAGGCAAGGAAAAUGCCCCCUCCAUGGCGACCUGCAGACCACAGUCCCAAUCAAAAGAAGAGCCUCUACAAGGACGCCUUAAAGAAUAUUGCAAAACAGGUGUCAAUCCUAGAAGAAUUAGGAAGCAAGGGGGUCAUAGUUCUCGCUGUAGACUGCAGAACAAAUUAUCAUCAUUUGGGACAGACAAGUGCCUGGACUGGCUGAACGAGCAAAUGGAGCUGCAGUAUUGCUUCCUUUCCACCUGCAUAGGAAAUGAAGGGCCAAUACUAAAAGAUCCCAAUGGACAAGAGAGAAGAGAAGUGCAACACAUUUUUAACAGAAAAUACAGUAGUUAUAUAUUGUAUUCAUUUUUACAGUUUUGAAUUAACUCACACACAAAAAUAAUAGACUCAAUUACAACUGUAGAAACUGAGCAUUACCAAAAAAUGAUUGUUUACACACAUCUUAAUAAUAGUGAAGUCCGUGCCUAAAACAACACAUUUAUAUGGAUUUUCCCUUCAUUUUGUGUUGGGUCUAAUAUACUACAAUUUGCACUGUAAGUGAAUUAAAAAUGAAUGUAUUCAUACAACAGAUUGAACAUGUUCUGAAAUAAUUAAAUACAUAGUCUGCAAACUUAAAGUGUUUUACAAUAAAACAUGUUUACUGCCGUGUUAUCUAUUAGGAGUCGCAAAUGGAACCUCUGGCAGGUGUUCCUACAAAGCGCUGAGUGAAGGGAGGCUGGUGGCCAUGGGCAUGCCCAGAGGCAUCCAGCUCAAGUGUCCUUCUGCUUCUGGAAAGCAGGAUUUAGAGAUGAUCAUCAAGCAGCAGGACCAGAUACACUUUGGCAUGUUUGAUUAACUCCCAUGCGCCAAGCGCCGAAGUGGCGAUAAUGCGUACACCGAAUGCCGAAGC